GCCCCCCCCCCCCCACACACACACACACGCACACACACACACAAACAAAGAGGCGUUAGGCUGAGACGCUGAAAGUCCGGAUUUAAAGUGCAGAAAAGGAAGCCAUUGAAUCUGCCUGUCCAUGACGUACAAAGACACACUAUGAGCCAGUAUGAUCCGACCAGACCUUACAUCAGCAUUGAGGAGUUGUCGGAGAAGAAAGAGGCUGAUUGAAGCGGGACAGAUGACAUGGAUCCAUCCUUCCACAGCCAGGAGUGCACCGACCUGUGUCCCACACUUCAUAUAAGACUGGAAGCUACACUGAUCUCACAGCUACACACCACAGACGUCUACACACUGGAGAAGAGUCCCACAAAGAAGUCAUGACCCAGAGGCUGCAGAGAAACAUUUCAAGCCUCAUCUGAGUUUUUGUACAAUAUUUUUGCUGUAUGUAAAUAAAGCUUUCACUCCACAUA